rnacentral:rRNA from 1 species
UACAGAGAGUGCAAGCGUUAAUCGGAAUUACUGGGCGUAAAGCGCACGUAGGUGGGCGUUUAAGUCGGAUGUGAAAGCCCUGGGCUUAACCUAGGAACUGCAUCCGAUACUGGGCGUCUAGAGUAUGGUAGAGGGAAGUGGAAUUUCUGGUGUAGCGGUGAAAUGCGUAGAUAUCAGAAAGAACACCAGUGGCGAAGGCGGCUUCCUGGACUAAUACUGACACUGAGGUGCGAAAGCGUGGGGAGCAAAC